AGCAAACACUAGGCUGAACAACAUAGACAUAAAAGAUGGUUCCACAGUGCGUACAUAAAUAGAUGGAAUAGUAUCAAGUAGUUCCCAUACUUUAAGAAGUAGGUUCAACAUAAAAGACACAAAUAGUUUUGAGAGCAAAGGAUAAUCGACCAUCUCACAUAGAUGGAAUGUAAAGUAACUACUUCCCAUACUUCAACUCAUACUUCCUACGCAACCAACCCUUUCGAGAGUCAAGAGGCAUGUAAAGAAACAUCUCCCUUUGCGCCCUCUUCACAAACAAUUCGCUAGCCAUGAAGAACUCAUCGCUAUCAACUGCUGCACCACAAGCAAUGACUUCAUCCAUGACCGAGGUGACACAGUUCGCCUCAUCUUGCUUUAGGAAAGACUGAAAUGAUGAGUGAGAAGCCUCGGCAAUGUCACCAAUCCUUCUAACUUGCUCACACAUCACUUG
rnacentral:lncRNA from 1 species